AGGAAUUAUAAUAGUUUUUACAGGAUUCCCUUUGAUAGGCAUGCUCGUUGAAUUAUUUGGUUUUAUUAACUUAUUUGGUAAUUUUUUUCCCAUCGUCGUAAAUUUUCUAAGAUAUCUACCCAUCACGGGUCAUAUUCUGAAUCUCCCCGUCGUAAAUUUGUUAACCGACAAAAUAUCGGGUCGUUACCGGCAUGAGUUACCUGUUUAAAAGAAUGCAAACAUUUUAAAACUCAUAUCUUCUUAAAAUACCAGCUUAGCUUAGUUUACUCAAUGUUAUAUA